CAGUAGCCACGGUAAUACGGAGGGGGCUAGCGUUGUUCGGAAUUACUGGGCGUAAAGCGCACGUAGGCGGCUUUGCAAGUCAGAGGUGAAAGCCCGGGGCUCAACUCCGGAAUAGCCUUUGAGACUGCAUCGCUUGAACACGGGAGAGGUGAGUGGAAUUCCGAGUGUAGAGGUGAAAUUCGUAGAUAUUCGGAAGAACACCAGUGGCGAAGGCGGCUCACUGGACCGUUGUUGACGCUGAGGUGCGAAAGCGUGGGGAGCGAACAGGAUUAGAUACCCCAGUAGUCCCUGUCUCUUAUAU
rnacentral:rRNA from 1 species